GGGCGAUUAGCUCAGGGGAAGAGCACCUGCCUUACAAGCAGGGUGUCGGUGGUUCGAUUCCACCAUCGCCCACCA
rnacentral:tRNA from 1 species